CAACUCAUAAGUCUACUUGUGGCAUAGAAACAAAAAUUCUCACCCCUUGAGGAAGCAGCACGCAAAACGCACGUUGGGGUGUGGACUGGUGGUGCAUUUCUGUGGUGGGAAUCUCUUCUCGGUGGCUUCAAAAAGUGUGCUCCCCGCACUCUUAAGCAAAUCCGUAAAUUUGCAAUGAAAACGAUGCGUAUUUCUGAAGUACGUAUCGAUACAAGACUGAACAAAGCUGUGUGGGCCAAAGGCAUCAGGUCUCCAGACAGUCAACGUGGAUGAACUAAUUGGUCUCUGCAUUGUUAAAAUAAAAAAUAAAACCAUACGUCAGUCAGCAUGUGACUCAAUUUAGAGGACGAUAAAACUUUCACACUUCC